rnacentral:rRNA from 1 species
CGGGUGAGUAAUGUCUGGGAAACUGCCUGAUGGAGGGGGAUAACUGCUGGAAACGGUAGCUAAUACCGCAUAACGUCGCAAGACCAAAGAGGGGGACCUUCGGGCCUCUUGCCAUCGGAUGUGCCCAGAUGGGAUUAGCUAGUAGGUGGGGUAACGGCUCACCUAGCGACGAUCCCUAGCUGGUCUGAGAGGAUGGCCAGCCACACUGGAACUGAGACACGGUCCAG